AACAAGGAUCCACCUCGAACCUCCCUACUCUCUCAACCUGAUUUCGCUUUCUUACAUGCGAUUUAUGUAAGUAAAAUUCUGAUAUUCCAUCAUCUUUCUUUGUUGGUGCAGUGAGCUGAGUUAAGAAGCCUUUGGGUUUGUUAUUUGUGAAUAAUUUAUGAGGGAAGAAGACUCAAAUUGGUUCUCCAGAUGGGAGGAAGAGCUGCCAUCCCCAGAGGAGCUUAUGCCUUUUUCCCAAUCCCUAAUUACUCCUGAUCUUGCUCUGGCCUUCGAUAUCCGUAACCCCGACCAUGCCCAGCUUCAACAGCCGCCCCCUCCUUCUCAACCAUCCUUAUCCGAAUUCGCUGCCGAUUCCGGUGACUUGGGAUCCGGGGAAGCCGGAGAUGAGCCGGCACGCACUCUCAAGCGGCCUCGUCUCGUGUGGACCCCACAGCUCCACAAGAGAUUCGUUGACGCCGUGGCUCAUUUGGGGAUCAAGAACGCUGUCCCCAAGACUAUAAUGCAGUUGAUGAGUGUUGAUGGCUUGACGAGAGAAAACGUUGCUAGUCAUUUGCAGAAGUAUCGCCUCUAUUUGAAGAGAGUGCAAGGCUUAUCUGGUGGUAGUGGAGGCGGUGCCAAUGGUGGAUCUGGGGGUGCCGGAUUAGGGGCUUCGGCUGAUCCAGCGACGGACCGUUUGUUUGCAAGCUCACCGGUUCCACCACACUUUCUUCAUCCUGGUAGGACUAAUUCCGAACAUUUAUUACCCUCCGUACCAGUGCCGGCCAUGCAGCAUCACCAUCAUCACCAACAACAGCAAAUGGUGGCAGCCGCGGUAGGACAUCCUCAUUUGCAGUCUCAGUAUCAUAGGCCACAAAUGGGGCAUUACGGGCCAUCUCGAAAUAGCCAAUUUGAGCAUCCCUUCUUAGGCAGGCAGACACAGCAGCCAAUGCAUAGGAUUGGAGGGACGCCCGUGCAUAAUCAAGCUCCUAGUAGUUAUGUGGAAGAUUUGGAAUCUGCCAAUGGGAAUGGUGGAAGGAAGGUUCUUACAUUAUUUCCUACUGGGGAUGAUUGAUUCAAAACUAUGUGAAGUGUUACGGUUGCCUUUGUGGGAAAGACUGAAGUCAAAGAGGCCCAAAAGGUGCUUCAAACUCUACUAAGAUAUAUCUGGAGUCAACUCUGGAUUAUACAUCAAGUGGCAUUGUGGGCUAAAACUUUCAGACUUCCAUCCAAGAGUUCGAUAGUUUGAUUUUAUAGCUAUAUGGUCUCGUUCAAUGUUUUAACAUCUUGCACAGUAUGAUAUUGUGCUGAAUGGCAUUUGUAAUUUGAUAUUUGCACUUGUGAUCUGGUGGCGAUGUACUGCUAGGUUUUUAUGGUAGGGUGACUGUUAGUGUUCUCUAGGGGAUCUAGUAUUGCAAAAGGUUUGGAUGUCUGUUUGCUUUUCCGAAAUUACGCAUGCCAUGGAUGACUUGGAUAAAUAAAGUGUAAUUUUAGUUUCGGGUUUAGUUUUCUGUUUAA